rnacentral:rRNA from 1 species
GAUGAACGCUGGCGGCGUGCCUAAUACAUGCAAGUCGAGCGAACAGACGAGGAGCUUGCUCCUCUGACGUUAGCGGCGGACGGGUGAGUAACACGUGGAUAACCUACCUAUAAGACUGGGAUAACUUCGGGAAACCGGAGCUAAUACCGGAUAAUAUAUUGAACCGCAUGGUUCAAUAGUGAAAGACGGUUUUGCUAUCACUUAUAGAUGGAUCCGCACCGCAUUAGCUAGUUGGUAAGGUAACGGCUUACCAAGGCAACGAUGCGUAGCCGACCUGAGAGGGUGAUCGGCCACACUGGAACUGAGACACGGUCACGACUCCUACGGGAGGCAGCAGUAGGGAAUCUUCCGCGCUGGGCGAAAGCCUGACGGAGCAACGCCGCGUGAGUGAUGAAGGUCUUCGGAUCGUAAGACUAUGUUAUUCGGGAAGAACAAAUGUGUAAGUAACUAUGCACGUCUUGACGGUACCUAAUCAGAAAGCCACGGCUAACUACGUG